rnacentral:lncRNA from 1 species
GACUGCUUUGUCUCAGCCGACAGAACCAGCAAGCCAGAAAGGGAAUGAAGACAUUUGGAGAAGAAGCGUUUACUGAAAGGAGAUUCCUGGGCUGGAGGAAAACCAUGAUCUACAGUUCAUGUUGACAGAUAUUGUAUUUUUGGUCCUAGAUCUGACUUUUGAAAUGACUUAUCACAAAUUCAAAUUUAGCAAUCAUGAGUGAAGUACCCACGAUGUGCUAAGCAUCUACCUCUGCAGAUAGAAGAACACUUACUGUUCCUGAGCAUGGGAGGGAAUAGAAGUUCCUGGGUCCUGGCCUCACCUCAUCAGGCACUGCCAAAUUUGACACCUCCUUCCUGUUCACGGCAGUCCUUUGCGAUAGGGUAUUAGAUGCCACCAAGUAGCUGCAUAACUCACCCAUUUGGUCAGAGCCUGGGUCUAAGCCAGGUCUGACAGACUCCAAAGCAAGCCCUGUUUACAGCAUGACUGGGAUCCAGUGGACGAGGGAACUGAGCUGUCAAAACUAAGUGACUUGAUUGAGGCCAUGCAGCUGGCGAGGGGAGGACCAGGAUCUGAACCCAACUGGGUCUCCCAAGCCUGGGCCACUGAACCAUUUCACCUCUUGGAAAAACUUAAUGGUCAGAGUGGCCCACCCAGUCCAUGGACAGCAUGGAGUGGUAUGGUGGAAGAGGAGGGAAGAAAACCUGUGUAUUGAGCCUGCGUUCUUUGGAAGGAAGACCUUUCAGAUGACCUGACCAGUCCUCCUCUUCAGAACCCGGAUGCUGGCGAAGCAGACUACUCCCAACGCAGGCCACCUGUCUUGAAGAUGUGUAUCUAUAGUCAGAGGGAGGAGCCAUGUGCAAGCGUUUGGCUGGAUCACUACAAAUCUAUCAUGACUCUGGGAAAUCAACCGCUGUAUGAGAUCCCGGCGAUUGAUGAGGGAACUCACUUUCAUUUAAAAGGGACAGCAAGCAUAAUUCUCAAUGCACACAUAGUCUCAAUGGAGUGGAUUUUCAUGGACUGACUCAAGGUAUACUGCUCUAAAUCCUACUGUAAGGCUUCCUCAUCAAGUUACCUACCUUCUAAUUGAGUCUCCUCAUCGGCUGAAAUGUUUACUCACAUGGAGUUAAUGACAGUGUCUGCAUUAGAGGAUUUAGUCAAGAUCAAAUUAGAUAUUGCAAUGGAGUGCUGAGGACAACAGCUGGCAUGCUUAAAAUGCUUGCUAAAUGUGUACAAGUGCACAAGUUCUGUUUUAUUAAUAAAAACCAACACCUA